CAGUAAUUAGGCAGCUCCCUGAUUGUUUCUAAUUCUGCUAUUAAUUGUGAGGAGCGGGGAGUGUGAUUGAGGAUAAAUUUGGUGCGGAGCUGCUGGGGCUUCAGCUCCCCGUGAGUUCCCUGGGCUGCCUUCCACCCCUCCAGGCUGCAGAGGCAGCUUCCUCCCUUUGCCUCCAUCCUGCUCUGCCUAAGUUUCCUAUUCUCUUUCCACAUUUUCCUCCUCCAAGGCUGGGGAGCUUUGGGACUGGGAAGCCCAGGCAGACCUCGCCUAGAGAGAGGUGUCCGUCUGGCUCUCCUGAGUGUGGCCCAGCUACAGUUGGCAGGACUGGUCCUCUCCUCCUCCCAGUGCCCUGCGCCCCUCCCCUCCUCUGCCUCCCUUCUUCCCACACUUCUCCAACUCUCCCCUCACCAGCCAGUGGCCCAGCUGAGGUACUCAGUUCCAGCCCCAAGCUGGAUCCUCCCCCAUCUCCCCACUCCAACCGGAAGAAGCACCGGAGGAAAAAGAGCACCGGGACCCCCCGACCAGACGGCCCCAGCAGUGCUACUGAAGGUUAGGGGGACCCAGAGGGAAACCGGGCACAGGAGGUGGGCAGUGGGACUUGGGGAUAGUACCCUAAAAGUAACACCUUUUUUUUUUUUUUUUUGUAUUCAAUGGAUUAAGCACUUUCUAGUAGUUGCUAAUCAAAGUAGUUCUACAACUUCUUUUGGUAAUCUAGACCUGGUAUCUUAGAAAAGUUCUUCUGAUAACUGAAACCCUUUCUGUUGAAAUGUGGGCUUACUUCAUUUAUUCUUAAGGUAAAAGACAGCAGACUGCUACAUCAAUAGCUCCUCUAAGAUGUUCGGGCAGGACCUGUGUUUUCUGUCUCUUGUGUCAUCCCAAGUUUAAUAAAGUGCUGGGUACUUACUAGGUGCGUAAUACAUGUGUACAGAUUGGCUGAGUCUCUCAUUAGUUUUCCUUAGGCUAAGGAAUUCCAGGUCCUGAAGCCUUCUUCCAUAGGACCUUUCUCUUCCUCUAUUAAUUAUACUGCUGCUCCUCAGAUUUUCCUCAAAGUAUCUUCAAAACCUCCCUCUUCUUGGUGAUUGGAGUUUCUUUGCUCCCAAAUAAGUUUAACUUCUACAGACUCAUAAUUUCUUACUUCUGCUCUAAUCAUCAGGGUAGACGUAUGGGUCAGGGGAGCAGAGACACCUAGCCAACCUGUGACACAGUGAUGCUUAGUACUUAUAGCGUGGGGUCUCCCUUCUGGUCCGGCAGACUAAGCCCCACAAAUGAUCAUGGAGAUCACGUAGUUCGAAGGCUGUGGUUGAAAGCAAGGUGAGGCGCAGUGGUGGUGCCUGGGGAAGGAGGCGCCGGUUCUAUUUCUGUGGGAAGGCAGUUCUGCUAACAGUCCCUGAGAGCAAGGGCCCAGCAGAGGAGGAAUUCCAGGGGAUGUCGGUGUCACUGAGGUGAGGCUGCCUGGGGCCAAGAUGCAGUGAGGACUUACAAGCAGGGAUGGCCUUGGCAGAACUGGGGUUCACCCUGGGGCCUUACCACAGGCACCUGUGCUGUCUUUCCAGCCCCCAGGACACAGUCACACUGCUUGUUAGGAAUUGUUCACCCAUGGGGCAGUGACCAUUGGGAAUGAGAUUCAUGCGGCUGUCUUCUGGGGCCUGGGGGACCAGAGCUUGGAGGAGCUUCACCACAUUGCUUGGGGUCACAGUCCAGCCCUCAGUGCUUGUCAGUACAGAUGCCCUCAGGCCCCUAUUUGCUCACAUACUGCAGGUCCUGUAGAAAACCUCUCCUCCUCUCCCCCAUCCACUUGCCCUUCCUGCCUGUCUAUGCCAUGGUAGUGGGGGAGGGGCCCAGCUCCCAGGAGCCCCACGCUGACGCCGUCAGGAAUAUUGGGUUUAAUGAGCUGCAAAAUGAGGCGGCUGCAGCUGACAUGUACGGAUGGUGCCCACACCCGCCUUCCCCCACCCUCUCCCAGUGUUUGCCUCCUAGCACCCCGUCGCAUCCUUCUCCAGAUACUCAGCUCUUUCUGGGAUGCACCCCUCUCUGGUUUCACACCCAUUCCCGGCAGUGCCAGGGGUGCCAAGAUCUUGCAUCCCCCAUCUGUUUUCACUUAAGCUCCACAGGUGGUUAGGAAUGAGAACUGGGAGCUCACACUAGUCUUGCAGGUUUACUCUGGCCUCCCCCUGCAAGCUGUCCUGGAGCGUGUGGCCUUGCAGCUGGGGAAGGGUCUAGGGGAGGACACUUGCCAGUGGAGCAGGGUAGUGAGUGGAGUUGUGGCGAUAGCAUGCCCUGGGUGUGCACGCAGGCCAGGAGCCCUGAUGGCAUAAACACCCCCCCAACAGAGGCAGAGGAGUCGUUUGAAUUUGUGGUGGUGUCCCUCACUGGGCAGACGUGGCACUUCGAGGCCUCAACGGCGGAGGAGCGGGAGCUGUGGGUUCAGAGUGUGCAGGCCCAGAUCCUUGCCAGCCUGCAAGGCUGCCGCAGUGCCAAGGACAAGACUCGACUGGGGAACCAGAACGCAGCUCUGGCUGUGCAGGCCGUCCGCACCGUCCGCGGCAACAGCUUUUGUAUCGACUGCGAUGCACCCAAUCCAGACUGGGCCAGCCUGAACCUGGGUGCCCUGAUGUGCAUUGAGUGCUCAGGCAUCCACCGACACCUGGGGGCUCACCUGUCCCGGGUGCGCUCCCUUGACCUCGAUGACUGGCCGCCUGAGCUGCUGGCUGUCAUGACUGCCAUGGGCAAUGCCCUCGCCAACAGCGUCUGGGAGGGGGCCUUGGGUGGCUACUCCAAGCCAGGGCCUGAUGCCUGCAGAGAGGAGAAGGAACGCUGGAUACGGGCCAAGUAUGAACAGAAGCUCUUCCUGGCCCCACUGCCAAGCUCAGAUGUGCCACUGGGGCAGCAGCUGCUCCGGGCCGUGGUGGAAGAUGACCUGCGGCUGUUGGUGAUGCUCCUGGCACAUGGCUCCAAAGAGGAGGUGAAUGAGACCUAUGGGGACGGGGACGGGCGGACAGCUCUACAUCUCUCCAGUGCCAUGGCCAACGUUGUCUUCACGCAGCUGCUCAUCUGGUAUGGGGUGGACGUGAGGAGCCGGGACGCCCGGGGCCUGACUCCACUGGCAUAUGCUCGCCGGGCCGGCAGCCAGGAGUGUGCAGACAUCUUGAUCCAGCAUGGCUGCCCUGGGGAGGGCUGUGGCUUAGCGCCUACCCCCAACAGAGAGCCUGCCAAUGGCACCAACCCUUCUGCUGAGCUGCACCGUAGUCCUAGCCUCCUAUAAGGCCCAGGAAGAGGGCAGAGGGGCCAGAAGGACUCCAUGGCCCGAAGACCCUCCUCCCUGCAGGCACUGUGGGAACAGACACAGAGAUGGAGAAGCAGGGACAUGCUGAGAGGACGAAGCCAAGGAAAUUAGGGAGGAGAGUCAAAGGGAUCAAGGAGAGUUGGGGAUUUGAGCUGCAGCAGAGAGGGAUGAGGGAUUUAGCCCUCUGCCCUAAGGUGCCAUUGAAAAGGGACAGGACCCUUCGGAGGUGCCUGUGAGGAGAGGGGAGCAGGACCUCUCCCUCCUCCAGAUCCCUGCCUCCUAGUGCCAGCCCCUCACACGCCUUCAUCCUGAAACAGGAAGAGGACGGCACAAGUUGGGGGUGCUGGAUGAAAGAGACGAGGGGUGAUCUGUGAGUCCCAUGUAAACUUUGUACAUUGGAAUAUUUAUGUUUGUGUACAUAUUUGAUGUGUGUGUGUAUGAUGAGCCAAUAAACCAGACUGUGUGCG
rnacentral:sRNA from 1 species